GUAGGGGGCAAGCGUUGUCCGGAUUUAUUGGGCGUAAAGCGCGUGUAGGCGGCUUGGCAAGUCCGCUGUGAAAACUCGAGGCUCAACCUCGAGAUGUCGGUGGAAACUGCUUGGCUAGAGUCCGGAAGAGGAGUGUGGAAUUCCUGGUGUAGCGGUGAAAUGCGCAGAUAUCAGGAAGAACACCUAUGGCGAAGGCAGCACUCUGGGACGGUACUGACGCUGAGACGCGAAAGCGUGGGGAGCGAACAGGAUUAGAUACCCUGGUAGUCCACGCCGUAAACGAUGGAUGCUAGGUGUGGGCGGUGUCGACUCCGUCCGUGCCGAAGCUAACGCAUUAAGCAUCCCGCCUGGGGAGUACGGCCGCAAGGCUAAA
rnacentral:rRNA from 1 species